GGGGCCUGCAUGCACCGAGGCCAGUGAUUCUCAACCUGUGGUUCUUUCGCGGUCAUAUAUCAGAUAUCCUGUAUAUCAGGCAUAAAGAACUCCUAUGUGGCCAGGGAAGUGAGUUGCAGAGGAGAUGUCAGCGUUUUGAAAGUUGUUUCUGAAACUGCACCAGGGAGUUGGUGGAACUAAUAAUAUAUCCACCUCAUGAGAGAUGAACUUUGUUUUCUCAGUAGAGAAUUGUUCUCUGCUUCAGAAAACAUGUCUUGCAGAACAGUGCGGACCUGCGUAGCAACUCUUACUGUGGUUUUCUGGAGAUUUCACACAGCACUUUUAUCCAUCACAAAUCCCAAGCCUUCAGAUCUGUUGGGGCAAAAGGUUGGGUACUAGGGCAACUUGCAAGACAUCCCUUCUGGCAACAUAGACAAGUGGCGAAUAUUAUAGUUUUUCAUUCUACUAUCUUAACCAUGUCUGGCAUAGCUCAUUAUCAGGCCCAGGAAGCACAAAGGCUUUGUGUUAGAAUUUACUCCAUCCUUGCCAAAACAUUGAAUGGUGAAUCAGCUGACAUCAUCUGCUUCCCCUGUCCAGCCUUACACCUGUAUUUAUUUUUCUGACUUCAGACUUUCAACACUUAUCCUUACAUAUAUUCCGCUUGUUCCUAUUGGCACAUAUUAGCCCAUUUUUUGCAGUAUCUUAGCAUAGUUUGGUGAUUCUCAACCUCAGAUGAUUUUCAGUCCUUGAGGGAUAUUUGACAAUGGUUUGAGACAUUUUUGCUUGUCAUUACUGAAAGAGAUCUGCUGACAUCUAGUGGAUACAAGCGAGAGUUUGUGUUAAAUGAUCUAUAACACUAAAGAUAGAGCCCUUCACAGUAAAGAACUAUUCAUCCCCAAAUGUCCCAGUUGCCAGAAGGGAGGAACCUUUGCUGUAGCUUUCUCUAGAGCAGAGGUUGCAGUUUCUCACAAAGGCUGUGCUGGGUAGCUUGGUUAUGGAGUUGAAGCAAUGAGGAAGAAAUGUGCUAGAAACAGGAAGUGAAGGAAACAGUUAUACUCUGAAGCAACUUUCUUUGCAACAUUUCAAGACAUGGGGAGACUGCUCUUCAUUGUCAAAAGGAAAGACACAUUGAAGUGGAGAAAACUCUGAGUGUUUAAGACUGUGAAAUCUGAAAGGAAAAGUAUUGGCUCAGGAUCCCAAGACCAAGUUCUCAGCACAAAGCAGAUUUAUUUGUCCCAGAGGGACAGAGGACAGGGAAUAAGAGACAAACACAGGAGAUAAAGGACACAGGAGAAAAGGAAGGGACACAGGAGACUGAGGAGGAGUAUUUGUCUUAGAAUGGAGAGGAGGCAGAAGUGGCACAUAGGAACAUAGCAGGUUCUAAAGGUAAAGGGGGAAGUCUCGUGUUAGGA